rnacentral:rRNA from 1 species
AAUAGAUACCCGGUAGUCCACGCCGUAAACGAUGAGUGCUAAGUGUUAGGAGGGUUUCCGCCCUUUAGUGCUGCAGCUAACGCAUUAAGCACUCCGGCCUGGGGAGUACGGUCGCAAGACUGAAACUCAAAGGAAUUGACGGGGGCCCGCACAAGCGGUGGAGCAUGUGGUUUAAUUCGAAGCAACGCGAAGAACCUUACCAGGUCUUGACAUCCUCUGACAACUCUAGAGAUAGAGCGUUCCCCUUCGGGGGACAGAGUGACAGGUGGUGCAUGGUUGUCGUCAGCUCGUGUCGUGAGAUGUUGGGUUAAGUCCCGCAACGAGCGCAACCCUUGAUCUUAGUUGCCAGCAUUUAGUUGGGCACUCUAAGGUGACUGCCGGUGACAAACCGGAGGAAGGUGGGGAUGACGUCAAAUCAUCAUGCCCCUUAUGACCUGGGCUACACACGUGCUACAAUGGAUGGUACAAAGGGCUGCAAGACCGCGAGGUCAAGCCAAUCCCAUAAAACCNGUUCUCAGUUCGGA